rnacentral:rRNA from 1 species
UACGAAGGGGGCUAGCGUUGCUCGGAAUCACUGGGCGUAAAGGGUGCGUAGGCGGGUCUUUAAGUCAGGGGUGAAAUCCUGGAGCUCAACUCCAGAACUGCCUUUGAUACUGAGGAGUCUUGAGUCCGGGGAGAGGUGAGUGGAACUGCGAGUGUAGAGGUGAAAUUCGUAGAUAUUCGCAAGAACACCAGUGGCGAAGGCGGCUCACUGGCCCGGUACUCGACGC